AACGAACGCUGGCGGCAGGCCUAACACAUGCAAGUCGAACGCCCCGCAAGGGGAGUGGCAGACGGGUGAGUAACGCGUGGGAACAUUCCCUUCGGUUCGGAAUAUCUCCGGGAAACUGGAAGCAAUACCGGAUACGUCCUACGGGAGAAAGAUUUAUCGCCGAAGGAUUGGCCCGCGUCGGAUUAGCUAGUUGGUGAGGUAACGGCUCACCAAGGCGAUGAUCCGUAGCUGGUUUGAGAGAACGACCAGCCACACUGGGACUGAGACACGGCCCAGACUCCUACGGGAGGCAGCAGUGGGGAAUCUUGGACAAUGGGCGCAAGCCUGAUCCAGCCAUGCCGCGUGAGUGAAGAAGGCCCUAGGGUUGUAAAGCUCUUUCGGCGGGGAAGAUAAUGACGGUACCCGCAGAAGAAGCCCCGGCUAACUUCGUGCCAGCCGCCGCCGUAAGAC
rnacentral:rRNA from 1 species